GCCGGUGUAGCUCAGGGGUAGAGCAACUGAUUCGUAACCAGUAGGUCGAUGGUUCAAUUCCAUUCACCGGCA
rnacentral:tRNA from 2 species